GACGAAUGCUGGCUGCGUGCUUAACACAUGCAAGUCGAACGGUGAAGGAGGGCUUGCCCUCCGGAUCAGUGGCGAACGGGUGAGUAACACGUGGGCAACCUGCCCCUCACUCUGGGAUAACGCCGGGAAACCGGCGCUAAUACCGGAUACGACCAGGCGCGACAUCUCGCCUGGUGGAAAGAAUUUCGGUGAGGGAUGGGCCCGCGGCCUAUCAGCUAGUUGGUGGGGUAACGGCCCACCAAGGCGACGACGGGUAGCCGGCCUGGGAGGGCGACCGGCCAGACUGGGACGGGGACACGGCCCAGACUCCUAGGGGAGGAAGCAGCGGGGAAUAUUGCGCAAUGGGCGAAAGCCUGACGCAGCGACGCAGCGUGAGGGACGAAGGCCUUCGGGUUGUAAACCUCUUUCAGCGGGGACGAAGCGAAAGUGACGGUACCCGCAGAAGAAGCACCGGCUAACUACGUGCCAGCAGCCGCCGUAAUAC
rnacentral:rRNA from 1 species